UAACCUGCCCAAGAGAUCGGGAUAACACCUGGAAACAGAUGCUAAUACCGGAUAACAACAGAUGAUGCCUAUCAACUGUUUAAAAGAUGGUUCUGCUAUCACUCUUGGAUGGACCUGCGGUGCAUUAGCUAGUUGGUAAGGUAACGGCUUACCAAGGCGAUGAUGCAUAGCCGAGUUGAGAGACUGAUCGGCCACAUUGGGACUGAGACACGGCCCAAACUCCUACGGGAGGCAGCAGAA
rnacentral:rRNA from 1 species